GUGGGGAAUAUUGGACAAUGGGCGAAAGCCUGAUCCAGCCAUGCCGCGUGUGUGAAGAAGGUCUUCGGAUUGUAAAGCACUUUAAGUUGGGAGGAAGGGCAGUAAGUUAAUACCUUGCUGUUUUGACGUUACCGACAGAAUAAGCACCGGCUAACUUCGUGCCAGCAGCCGCGGUAAUACGAAGGGUGCAAGCGUUAAUCGGAAUUACUGGGCGUAAAGCGCGCGUAGGUGGUUUUGUAAGUUGGAGGUGAAAGCCCCGGGCUGAACCUGGGAGAUGCCUCCAAAACUGCAUGACUAGAGUACGGUAGAGGGUAGUGGAAUUUCCUGUGUAGCGGUGAAAUGCGUAGAUAUAGGAAGGAACACCAGUGGCGAAGGCGACUACCUGGACUGAUACUGACACUGAGGUGCGAAAGCGUGGGGAGCAAACAGGAUUAGAAACCCUUGUAGUCC
rnacentral:rRNA from 1 species